GAGACCAACCCAAAGAGGAUUUGGUCCAAGGACACAGGUCCAAGGUACAGAUGGAGUUUGGCUCCUGAGUGACAUGUCUGAGCUUCCUCCUGAUGGACAUCAAGCAGCUUCUUCUCCAGCUACCAAAUUCUGUACUUCCUGCCAGUCAACAAGUAAAGAGAUGUGACCAGGGGAUGAGAAAGAGCCUGAGAAGUUUGGUCAGCUGCACAAUCCUUUCCAAAGCUCCGAAUUUGAUGCUGACAAUGGCAAGGCAGAGGGGCUGGCCCCAGGAGCUGUAACUGCCCUGAACCCUGUAGGCUUCUGGCUUGGGAUGGAGUAGGAAGCCUGGAGCCAGGGGAAGGAAAGAGAUGAGAGGAGCCACACUGCAAAAAUCAAAGAACCUGUCAGCCAGGAUAACCCCAAAGCCCGGAGCCCGAGAACUUCCCUUUCAGUGUUCUCCUUUCACAUGUCCACGUGACAAAUGUAUUUACCCCUUUCUGUGAAACCUAAACCCUCGGUCUUCCCCACAACUACUCCAAUUCCCUUGCCUAAAAGAAACUGCCCUAUGACUUAAGUUAAUUUUGGAUUAAGUCAAUUUCGUAUGGCCGGGAGCAACAACUCAUGCCUGAAAUCCCAGCGUUUAGGAAUAGAAUUGAUGUGAAUGUGAGGGCCAUAUAGUGAAUUCCAGGCCAUUCUGAGCUACAGAUUGAGAUGGUGUCUCAAUCAAAACAAAAAUCUUAAUAAGGAGAGAAAAGGGGGGAAGGGGAAGAAAGAGGGAGGUAAGUUAGCUUGCUUUUGUAUAAACCAACAAAGAAACUGUACCAAGCUCCUCACCUCUCCCUAGUAUCCACCUUCUCUUCAGGAGAGGAGAGACAAUGGAGUUCAGUACAGGGAUGCAUGGACGACACAGUGUCUGAAAAUGAAGUGUAAAUUCCAACCAGACUAUGACAGAGCUGCCUCUUUGUCUCGCCUAAGUCAAUUCAAACUCAAACCUUUGAGACAGCCAUACUCGGGAUAUGGGAAUUUAUUGUCUGUCGGACCAUAACCAGGACCUGAAAGUCUCAAUUAAAACUGCCACUGAGAACUCUGGGUCAUGGCAGCUGGCAGAAAGGCCCUUCUGGGUCCCUGACGCCAACCACAAGCACAGCCACUAAAACAGUGGAUGAUUAUGAAUAUUGUUUGCUCUCUGUGUCUGUCCUUAAAAGAUAAUCUAAAUAGCCUUCCUUCAGUAAUGUGGGCUUCAAAAUUAAGUCUAUAAAGUAAGAAUGUUAGAUAAGGAAUCUUUUCUGAAAGCAAUCAUUUAUUCCAAAUUGUACUUUGAAAUUAUUUCAACCUUGUUUGUCAAGAUACUAUCACUUUGAGAACCCUUGAAUUUGAAAAAAGCAGAAUCAAAUGGUGAUCAGCAAUUUAAGAUUCAAACAAUACUUGACUCCCCAGAGCCUGGUCCUUAAGCUGGUUCUAUCUCUAUGUGAGAAAUGGACUUGUCCUGUUAGAGUUUUAGCAGGUUGAACCUCUCACCUCCCCGGCCACUGUCCUAACUGAAGAAAUGUCACACUUUCUGUGACCUCUGUUUGAGAAUGUGGCGUAGAGCAGAGACCUUGUGAACUCAUUUCUAGUCCACCAGGAGGCUGAGGACCCUACACUCUGAGAUGCCACUGCCGUGGGGAACCCUAAUCUGCAGAGCAGAACCCACUCACCGUGAGCUGAGGCUCUCUGGAGAGCUGUGUCUGUGUGACGGAUCCUGCAGGCUGCUUUCCCUGGACUGAGCACGACGCUGAGACUGGAGAUGAGACAUUACAAGCCAACUGCUAGAAUUACCUUGGACCUUCUUUAGCCCUUUCUUAUGUAUUAUUGUCCCUUCUAGCCAGCUUCCGCCUCUGAUUUAACACCCUUGCUUUGAGAUAAAGCUCUUGGGUUUUAUCGUUAAACUCAAAGAAGCUCUGUUCUCCACCAAGCUGAAAGCUGAAAAUGUGAUCAAAGAGAUUUCCCUGCCUUGCUGCAGCGCUUCUGCUCAAUAACCCACAAGUGUAUCCUGUAGGUUCAUGACUUUGUCACUUUUCUUUUGUUCUGUGAUCACAUCAGCUCAUGCAAUCUCUUCCAGGGUGGAACAUGUCUUUCAAGGAAACUGGAAUUCAGGUCCCCAAGCUACUAUCUGGCCCA